rnacentral:rRNA from 1 species
GACGUAGGAGGCGAGCGUUGUCCGGAUUCAUUGGGCGUAAAGAGCACGCAGGCGGUUUGGCAAGUCGGAUGUGAAAACCCGAAGCUCAACUUCGGGCCUGCAUCCGAAACUGCCCGACUAGAGGUAGGUAGGGGAGAUCGGAAUUCCUGGUGUAGCGGUGAAAUGCGCAGAAUAUCAGGAGGAACACCGGUGGCGAAGGCGGAU